ensembl:lncRNA ZNF37BP zinc finger protein 37B, pseudogene
AGGUUUGUUUUUCUCCGGUACAGCCUGGUAGGGAGGGCUCCCGGCAUCUCCCUGCUUCGGGGCAGAGGAUGCCGGGGGUAGAGUACGGGAGGGCUGGAGCGAGGGUGGACUGGAGGUGCCGCUUGUCCUGGAGGUGGGAGAGAGGGAGCGGCUUUGCCGCCUGGCCUGCGUCCUAAUCCUGUCCUGGUUCUUCUGCUCCCGAAGGGAACGUAGGUCCCGCGCCUGUGAUAAAAUCUCGCUGUCUCCUUCCAACCACCUGUGGUCGGCAUCCCCGCGUUGUCACUGCGACGCAGAGGUCGCAGCUUCAUGGCCUGAUGCCUUCAGGAAGUAUUUUGAAGUCAUCGUGGCUGUGGAUUGGGGGAUUUCUUGUUUCCACUGACCUGUGAGGCCGCGCACGUGGAGGGAGGCACCCCGGGUCCUCCGGCACUGUCCGGCCUCGCCUGUGUCCCUAGUAGCAGUGGGCAUUUCCAGACGGUGCAGCUUGUGGCUAAAGUGACAGGAAGAUGUAGGAGCUUUCAGUCUUGGAUGAGGAUUCGAACUGAAGGGCUUAGGCCCAGCUGUCUUGGAGCAAAACAUCUGUUGUGGGAUGUGGCGGCAGAGGAGGGCAAGGCCGAAGGAGCAGACAGCACCGCUUCUUGGGGAGUUGUGAAGGCAUCAUGCGGAGGGCCGAGCUUAGCAGCCAAGUGGAGGACAGCACCCUCCAUGCCUGGAUUCGUUACUCGCUCGUUCUCGAUGUUGAGCUGCUGGCAUAUUGCAGCACAACUAGAGAUGUACGGAUGCCCCCAUCUUGAUCUUACAGAAUCAGAGGUGCAGCCGCAAGAAAGCUACACCCUCUCGGUUUUCUCUGCUCUGCCAACACUAGUGGAAUAUGAUCACAUCCCAGAGUUUCACUCUUUUUGCCCAGGCUGGAGUACAGUGGUGCGAUCUUGGCUCACUGCAACAUCUGCCUCCUGGAUUUUCAAGUGAUUCUCCUGUCUUAGCCUCCUGAGUAGCUGGGAUUACAGGGAUCAGUGUCAUUUAGGGAUGUGACUAUGGGCUUCACUCAAGAGGAGUGGCAUCAUCUGGACCCUGCUCAGAGGACCCUGUAGAGGAAUGUGAUGCUGGAGAACUACAGCCACCUUGUCUCAGUAGGGUAUUGCAUUCCUAAACCAGAAGUGAUCCUCAAAUUGGAGACAGGCAAGGAGCCAUGGAUAUUAGAGGAAAAAUUUCGAAGCCAGAGUCAUCUGGGUGAGUUAGUGCCAGAUGGAAUUUAAAGAAUUAAUUAAUACCAGUAGAAACUAUUCAAGAAUGAAGUUCAAUGAGUUUAACAAAGGUGGAAAAUGUUUCUGUGAUGAAAGCAUGAAAUAAUUCAUUUUGAAGAGGAACCUUCUGAAUAUAAUAACAAUGGGAACAGCUUCUGGCUGAAUGAAGACCUCAUUUGGCAUCAGAAGAUUAAAAAUUGGGAGCAACCUUUUGAAUACAAUGAAUGUGGGAAAGCUUUCCCUGAGAAUUCACUCUUCCUUGUACAUAAGAGAGCUUACACAGGACAGAAAACAUGCAAAUAUACUGAACAUGGGAAAACCUGUUAUAUGUCAUUUUUUAUUACUCAUCAGCAAACACAUCCAAGAGAGAACCACUAUGAAUGUAAUGAAUGUGGAGAAAGUAUCUUUGAGGAAUCCAUUCUCUUUGAACAUCAGAAUGUUUACCCAUUCAGCCAGAAUUUAAAUCCCACUCUAAUUCAGAGAACCCACUCAAUUAGCAAUAUUAUUGAAUAUAAUGAAUGUGGAACCUUUUUCAGUGAAAAAUUAGCCCUUCAUUUACAACAGAGAACACAUCCAGGGGAAAAACCUUAUGAAUGUCAUGAAUGUGGAAAAACCUUCACCCAGAAGUCAGCCCACACAAGACAUCAGAGAACACACACAGGGAAAACCCUAUGAAUGUCACGGAUGUGGGAAGACCUUCUAUAAGAAUUCAGACCUCAUUAGAAAUCAAAGAAUUCACACAGGGGAGAGACCUUACAGAUGUCAUGAAUGGAGAAAUCCUUCAGUGAAAAGUCAUCCCUUACUCAAAAUCAGAGAACACACGUGGGGAGAAAUCAUGAAUGUCAUGAAUGUGGGAAAACCUCGUUUAAGUCAGUUCUAACUGUGCAUCAGAAAACACACAGGGGAGAAGCCCUAUGAAUGCUAUGCAUGUGGCAACACCUUUCUCAGAAAAUCCGACCUCAUUAAACAUCAGAGAAUUCACACAGGAGAAAAACCUUAUGAAUGUAAUGAAUGUGGGAAGUCAUUCUCCGAGAAGUCAACCCUUACUAAACAUCUAAGAACACACAGAUGGGAAAUCUUAUGCAUGUAUUCAAUGUGGAAAAUUUUUCUGCUGCUACUACAGUUUCACAGAACAUCUGAGAAGACACACAGGGGAGAAACCUUUUGGAUGUAAUGAAUGUGGGAAAACCUUCCAUCAGAAGUUGGCCCUAAUUGUUCACCAGAGAACUCAUAUAAGACAGAAACCCUAUGGAUGUAAUGAAUGUGGAAAAUCAUUCUGUGUGAAGUCAAAACUCAUUGCACAUCAUAGAACAUACACAGGGGAGAAACCCUAUGAAUGUAA